GUGCAAUUGGCCAACAGCUCCCCUGUUGACCUUCUCUGUGCUCCUGUUCCUUCAUGCCUGCCAUCCCCUCAGCUAAGACCAGAUCCUGUCAUCCUGCAGCCCACUGAUCUCAUUCAGUUUGAGGAACACCCUCAGGAGCCUUUGGGAGUUUUAUUUUUAAACCAAGAAGAAAAAACAGAAAUUCCAAUACCAGUAAAGAAGGGGAACCUGUCCUGUAACUCCUCACCCAGUAGCCCAGCAUCUGCUUCUGCUCCUCCCAAACCCUCCUCAGAAGCCCCCGGGCUACUGAUUAGCAAGGAUGCAGUGGAAAGCCCAGCAAAAAAGCAGCCCAAAAAUAGAGUCAAAUUGGCAGCCAACUUUUCUUUUGCACCUGUGACCAAGCUCUAACUUCCAGUUUGAACACAGAAUUAAAUUAGGAUGGGGGGGAAACGGAUUCUACA
rnacentral:lncRNA from 14 species